rnacentral:tRNA from 1 species
GGUUGUAGCUCAGUGGUAGAGCACUUGCCUAGCAAGUGUGAGGCGCUGGGUUUGAUCCUCAGCACCG